rnacentral:rRNA from 1 species
AGUAAAUAGAUACCCUGGUAGUCCACGCCGUAAACGAUGAGUACUAGGUGUAGGAGGUAUCGACUCCUUCUGUGCCGCAGUUAAACACAAUAAGUACUCCGCCUGGGAAGUACGGUCGCAAGAUUAAAACCUCAAAGGAAUUGACGGGGGGUCCCGCACAAGCAGCGGAGCAUGUGGUUUAAUUCGAAGCAACGCGAAGAACCCUUACCUAGACUUGACAUCUCCUGAAUAGUGUAGAGAUACAUGAAGCCCUUCGGGGUCAGGAAGACAGGUGGUGCAUGGUUGUCGUCAGCUCGUGUCGUGAGAUGUUGGGUUAAGUCCCGCAACGAGCGCAACCCGUUAUUACUAGUUGCUACCAUUAACGUUGAGCACUCUAGUGAGACUGCCCGGGGUUUAACCCGGGGUACGGAAGGCGGGGUAUGACGUCAAACUCAUCAUGCCCCGUUAUGUCUAGGGUCAACGACACGUGCUACAAUGGUGAGUACAGAUAGAUGCGAUACCGCAACGGUGGAGCCGAAACUCUAAAACCGUCAUCCCAGUUCGGAUUGUAGGCU